rnacentral:rRNA from 1 species
CAGUCGCCGCGGGAAUACGAAGGGGGCUAGCGUUGCUCGGAAUGACUGGGCGUAAAGGGCGCGUAGGCGGCGAUCAAAGUCAGGCGUGAAAUUCCUGGGCUCAACCUGGGAACUGCAUUUGAUACUGCCUGGCUAGAGUAUCGAAGAGGGAAGUGGAAUUUCCGGUGUAGCGGUGAAAUGCGUAGAUAUCGGAAGGAACACCAGUGGCGAAAGCAACAUCCUGGUCGAAUACUGACGUUCAUGUGCGAAAGCGUGGGGAGCAAACAGGAUUAGAUACCCGGGUAGUCCCUGUCUCUUAUAC